rnacentral:rRNA from 1 species
GAUUAGAUACCCUAUUAUUUUAAAUGUAAAUUAUUAUACUAAAGUAGUAAUAGUUAAGUUCUUUAAAUUUAAAGAUUUUGGCGGUAUUUUAGUCUAUUCAGAGGAACCUGUUCUGUAAUUGAUAAUCCACGAUUAAUUUUACUUAAUUUAAUAAUUUGUAUAUCGUCGUUUAUAAAUGAUUUUAAAAGAAUUUAAAUUUUUAAGAUUUUUUAUUAAAAAAUAUAUCAGAUCAAGGUGCAGUAAAUAAUUGAGAAGAAAUGGGUUACAAUAAAUUUAUUUAUAUGGAUUAAUAUAUAAAAUUGUAUUAUGAAGGAGGAUUUGAUAGUAAUAAAAUUAAAUUAAAUUUUAUGAUUUUAGCUCUAAAAUAUGUACACAUCGCCCGU